rnacentral:tRNA from 2 species
GGAACUGUGGUGAGGCUGGUGCUCACACUCGGUUGAAGCCCGAGGGACAUAGGUUCGAUUCCUAUCGGUUCCACCA